rnacentral:rRNA from 1 species
GACGAACGUUGGCGGCGUGCUUAAUACAUGCAAGUCAACUGAAGCAGUGGUAGCAAUAUCGCUGUGGAGGUGGCGCACGGGUGAGUAACACGUAGGUAAUCUGCCUUCAGGUCUGGCAUAACUCCGGGAAACCGGGGCUAAUAGCAGAUGAUGCAGCGGCUCGACAUCGAGACAGCUGUUAAAGCUAUGGCGCCUGAAGAUGAGCCUGCGUCUGAUUAGCUAGUUGGCGGGGUAACGGCCCACCAAGGCAACGAUCAGUAGCUGGUCUGAGAGGAUGAUCAGCCACACUGGAACUGAGACACGGUCCAGACUCCUACGGGAGGCAGCAGUAAGGAAUAUUGCUCAAUGGGAGAAAUCCUGAAGCAGCAACGCCGCGUGAGGGACGAAGGGCUUUUGCUUGUAAACCUCUGUAGUGAGAGAAAAAAAUCCCAAUCUUUGGGACAUGAUGGUAUCUCAAAAGUAAGCCCCGGCUAACUACGUG